AUCCGGUAGCACAGAGGAAGUAUCACAGAAGAAAGAAAAACAGAAUAAAUUCACCACAAAUGUGCUAUUGUCGUGUCAAGCAAAUGUUGCAGAAUACACAGAGCUCUAACCAGCAUGGGGAUCUAGGCUAGAACCACCCAUCACAUGCAACAAAUUGGGACUGCAGUUGGAUUGGGACCAUGAACUUGGUGCGUGGGGCCUCAACCCAUAUUACAAAAGCAUAGCUAACAGUGAAAUCCAAGAGUUGUUUACACAGAAGCAAGUCCAACAGAGUUCAAUCGUUCUUACUCCAAGGUAAGUGGCUAUAAGAUUCAGGCCUACGUAUCUUGAUAAAAUGCAUGAAAUAUUUUCCGCUUCCCUUUAGAUAAGGGGUUGGGGAACCUGUGGCCUUCCAGAUGUUGUUGGACUCAUCUCCCUUCGCCCAAAUGGCUUUAUGGAUGAUGGGGGUUGUAGUCUAGCAAAAUUUGUAGAGCUACAGGUUUCCCACCUCUGCUUCAGAUGUAUACAAUAAUUUGAAAUGUUUGAUAGCAUAUAAAUGCCAGGUGCACGCUCUUAAUAUUGCCUCUGAACACCUGAUGGCAUAAUUGAGCAGGAUUUUUUAAUAAAAGGUCACUUGCUUGUAUGAACCAAUUGUGAAUUAUAUUAAAAGUGUUCCUGUGAUGAUUUUGUAUGGACAGCUCUUGGAAGAACAGCUGGAAUCCUAUGUUUAUUAUACACGAAACUUGUUUCAACAGCUCCUUGGUAGCUAAGCCUGCUGUUUUGCAGGAUGCUUGUACAAUAACUGGUUGCUGGAAGCCAAGUUGAAAUGAAGCAAGCAAGCUCAGUCUAGUAAGAAAUGAGUUUGCAGAGAGGAUCCAUAUUAAGGUUUCUCACAAUUUGGCUCCUGUUCUACCUUUUCUUUCGUGAUGUCGCUAUGCCAAACUCUAAACCCACAAAGAAAAACCUCAUUGCAUAGUGCAGUCCUUAUUGGGAGAAAUUCAAUCUUUGCUUUAGCUCAGGGCCUUGUAAAUAGGAACAGUUGGGAUGAAUGGUGCCUUUUCUGUUCACCAUCUUUCAGUACCUCCGAGCAUUAACCUUUUAUUUCCCAAGGCCAUUCUCUCGAAUGCAGGCAAUGGAUGAAUGAGAGUGGUUUUCUUCCCUUCGAUUCAACAAUUGUGUGUUCAUCUUGCCCAUCUCUCCUUGCAUAAUUACAGAAGUAGUACAUAUGCCAAUAUCUGAAGGUUUUGUCAGCACUGCUAUUAUAAAUUCUAAUUUUCAGGAGUUUAUAAUAGGCUUGUGCAUUUGGCUGGAACGGAAGGCAGAUGAAAAUCAGGCUUGUUGUUGUAACAUUGAAUCCUAAAUAUGAAUAGUGAUUUGUUUCAGGUCGGGCCAAGUAUUUGGCAAGAAACAGAAGCCAAAAGCAAGCGAGCAAAAUUGAAGCAAAGGAAAGCCAAGAAUGCUUGAACAUUAUGUAAUGUUAAAGAGCCAAGUAAAAAACAACAACAACAAACAGAAGCUUACUAAAUAAUGUUCAAUCUUUACUAGGUUUUCAGAGAACUAUGAAAAAUUCAGUUGUGAGAGAUGGUUUGGCCUGUAUCUCAAUUCACUGGGUGGAGGGCAGGACUACACAAUAUGUGACCCAGGAAGCAUUGUGGACUGCUAAGUGCUUGAAAACACCUCUUAUUUUCUAGUCCAUGAUAUCAUGGAAAGCUGGGAAAUCUAACCAGGACUUGGAGGAAAAGUGGGACCUUCCAGGAUCAAAUCAGAAACCGGGAUGGCUUUUGUAAAUCUGGGACUGUCCCUGGAAAAUAGGGACACUUGGAGAGUCCCCAUUUUAUGUAAUGUUUUAUGUUCUAUGUUGUGCUAUGUCCAAAAUGAUAUAAUUGAAGCUUAAUAAAUAUUCCUAGUCCUAUGCGAGAUAAACAGAUAAAUAUGAUUCAGGUUAAUUUGUCCAUCAUGCCUGUAUUUCAACCAAAGGGUGAAAAUAAAGUUUUUGCCAAAGAAUGAAAAAUCAGGCAAGUAAGACCUCAAAACAGUUUGUGUGUAUUUGCUGUAGCACUUAUUAGUUGUAGCUGUUUCUUUAUCAGAGGUUCCCCCUUUCCUCUUCCUGCUGCUGCUAUGUUCUCUUGAAUAGAACUAGCUCUAAAUGAAAAGUGUUUUACAUGUAAAAAAUGCAUAUGCAUCGCUCAUAACUUUUGUUGCUUUGCAGCACAGCUCCAAAUGACUCCAAGAAAAUGUAAAUUAUGUGUGUGGCCUGAACACAAGGGCAAAUUGGUCACUGCGUGCACCAGCUAGCACAUGCACACACCCCACACAAAUGCACACGCACAUAUCCUAAUUGCAUAAAUAUGGUUGCUGCCAGCCCUCUGAAAGGUUAUAAUGGUUUCAAAUGUACCUUUUGAGAACAAUUGGUUGAAUUCACUAUUUACGGUAUAAAGAUGGGUGUUCUUAUUGCUGUGUCCCAUUAGCAUUACGCCGGUUGAUGACACAUCCAUCAUACUUGUCAAAUUAUUCAUGGCCUACUUUUGUGCUGUACUUUCCUCUCUCAUGCCUUUCCAUACUGGUAUGGGAAUAGGUUGCUAUGGAACCAGACUUUUAAAAAGAAGUCUGUUUAUAGGUAUGGUACCAUUCUUGGACACGGUGUCCUGUGUAAUUGCAUGACUACAUUAAAUAUAUAUGUUCUUUGAAAUACUAAUAUGAACUACAGACAUGUUUUUUUUCGUGCGGGGGAGAAUAGCUCAAAGAUUUAACUGAAAUGAUUUCAUCAUCAUUACUGAGCUAUUUACAUUCAGAACACCCCCUCCCAAACCCAAUACUUAGGGAUUAAGAGAUACUGGAAGUACUUUCAUGGUGUUUUAUUCUAUGGUGUGGGAUGAGGAUCAAAAGGAAGAUAAAGUAGCAUGGAUAUGGCCAAAGUAGGUCUACAACUACCAAGGAAUUUUCAGAUUAAUUCAUUCAUUACAUGGCACAGACCCUCCUGUCCCAAUUUUCCAGGGACAAUCCCAGAUUUACAGAAACCGUCCCGAUUUCUGAUUUUAUUCCAGAAUGUCUCGCUUUUCCUGGAGACCCUAAGUCAAGGAGAUAAGGGACUAUACAGCCAUUAAAAAACCAUCUGAAGGCAGCCCUGUAUAGGGGAGUUUUUUUAAUGUUCACUGUUUUAUUAUGUUUUAUAUAUACGGUGGAAGCCACCCAGAGUGGAAGCUGCCCAGAAGUGUUGGAGGGUAUACAUGGCAUGCUACCAAUUGGUAGAAGAGGAGUUACUCCUGAUUUCUGUCACCUCUCUUUUAAAAAGAACGGUGUGUAUGUGAUUGUGGUUUCUUUCAGACAAAAAAGGGAUGUGUUUCUUUUUUUUUCUUUUGCAGCAGCAGCCAGGCACAAUGGCAUCUUUGCAGGUUCACAUUGGCUGACUGCCAUGUUUUUGGAUAAGUGAAUGAUAGGAAACCUUUUGUACAUGGAUAUGUUACAGAUAAGAAAAAAUAAAAAUAUGUGCUUCUGAUGCUUGUUUUUCAGAUUCAGGGCAUGCAUAGCUGAUUGAUACAAACGGCAUGUGCAACUCAAUAUAUGCAUAAUCUAAUUGAAUGCUCAUUGCUAAUUUCCUCAAUGUAUGUUUGUGUGUUACAUAGCUUUUUGUAUUUGAUGCAUUAAUUUUACUCCUUUUAAAAGCCAACAUGAAUGAAACGGCUUUACAGAAAACUGAACCACGGUGUGCUUGGGGAAUGCAUGUUGACUGAGAUUCCCUUCAGUGUAUGUGUGUUGUGUGUGGUUUUUAUGAAACCUGUUUAUAGGACUGACCUGAUUAUGCAGACAUUUAGAAGUCUGCGGAUACAAAGAAGCCAUGCUUUAUUCUUUAUUUUUAAAAAGGUUGUUUGCAUUAAACACUGCUGUGCAGUUUGCCUUCAUCAAUCACUAGACCAAGAAUGAAAAGUCAAACAUAUUUUGUUGAUGAGCUAUUCAGGGUGGUAGAUAGAGUGUCUCUCCAGUCACCGCUCCAUUCAGUACAAUUUAUUCUCAUCACAGUUGAAAGAUUGUUUAGUUGGACUAGGGAAGAGAAGGGCUCGCCGUGGCUAAUCCUGAAUUAUUGCACCAAUUUUUCUGCCUUUUCCUGAACACGGUAUGAGACUUCCCCAAGCUUUGAAUCAACUUCAGGUUUUGUUUAUGUCUUCCAGACAGAACCCCCAUCUUUCUUGUGAUAUUCAGCACAUGGAAUUUGUCAGCUUAAGCUGUUGACAUGACCCUCAUUGCCUAGGAAUCCAUCACCAAAGAAGAGGAAAUGGUGUCACCUGACAGUGUUCUCACCUGAAGCAGACAAGAGGGCCCAUUCUUAGCAAGUGCAGUUUUAUUGCUCUAUAGUGGGGAGAAAUGUAAAAGUGGAAAUCUUUUUAAAGUGGGUAGUCUUUGUUCAUCCCCAUAUACUAAAAUCUGGGAUUCCAUUGCAUAACU